AACGAACGCUGGCGGCAGGCCUAACACAUGCAAGUCGAGCGCUGUAGCAAUACAGAGCGGCGCACGGGUGAGUAAUACGUGGGAACGUGCCCUUUGGGUCGGAAUAACUCAGGGAAACUUGAGCUAAUACCGGAUGAGCCCUAUGGGGGAAAGAUUGAUCGCCGAAGGAGCGGCCCACGUCGGAUUAGCUAGAUGGUAGGGUAAAAGCCUACCAAGGCGACGAUCCGUAGCUGGUUUGAGAGAACGACCAGCCACAGUGGAACGGAGACACGGCCCAGACUCCAACGGGAGGCAGCAGUGGGGAAUCUUGGACAGUGGGGGAAACCCUGAUCCAGCCAUGCCGCGUGGGUGAUGAAGGCCCUAGGGUUGUAAAACUCUUUCGGCGGGGACGAUAAUGACGGUACCCGCAGAAGAAGCUCCGGCUAACUUCGUGCCAGCCGCCGCCGUAACAC
rnacentral:rRNA from 1 species